GACAGAGGGGGCAAGCGUUGCUCGGAAUUACUGGGCGUAAAGGGCGCGUAGGCGGAAUGGCAAGUCGGUCGUGAAAUCCUUCGGCUCAACCGAAGAACGUCGAUCGAAACUGCCGUUCUUGAGGAUUGCAGAGGAGACUGGAAUUCCCGGUGUAGCGGUGAAAUGCGUAGAUAUCGUAAGGAAGACCAGUGGCGAAGGCGGGUCUCUGGACAGUUCCUGGACGCUGA
rnacentral:rRNA from 1 species